rnacentral:sRNA from 1 species
UGUAAGAAGAUACAAAGACAAAGACUCAUACGGACUUCAACUACACUAUCAAAGCUUGGAGAAGCAAGAAGAAGCUUGGUUAGUGUUUUGGAUUCGAAUAUGACUUGAUGUCAUGUGUAUGACUCCGUAUAAAAACUAGAACCGCAACAGAUCUUAAAAGCAUAAGUAUUGUAUCAUUGUUAGAAGAUACAAUGACGAAGACUCAUAUGGACUUCGGCUAAACCAUCAAAGCUUUGAGAAGCAAGAAGCAGUUGGUUAGUGUUUUGGAGUCGAAUAUGACUUGAUGUCAUGUGUAUGAGUGAGUAUAAAAACUAGAACCGCAACGGAUCUUAAAAGCCUAAAUAUUGUAUCCUUGUUAGAAGAUACAUAGACAAAGACUCAUACGGAAUUCGGCUAAACCAUCAAAGCUUUUAGAAGCAAGAAGAAGCUUGGUUAGUGUUUUGGAGC